AGUGAACGCUGGCGGUAGGCCUAACACAUGCAAGUCGAACGGCAGCACAGUAAGAGCUUGCUCUUACGGGUGGCGAGUGGCGGACGGGUGAGGAAUACAUCGGAAUCUACUUUUUCGUGGGGGAUAACGUAGGGAAACUUACGCUAAUACCGCAUACGACCCACGGGUGAAAGCAGGGGAUCUUCGGACCUUGCGCGAUUGAAUGAGCCGAUGUCGGAUUAGCCAGUUGGCGGGGUAAAGGCCCACCAAGGCGACGAUCCGUAGCUGGUCUGAGAGGAUGAUCAGCCACACUGGAACUGAGACACGGUCCAGACUCCUACGGGAGGCAGCAGUGGGGAAUAUUGGACAAUGGGCGCAAGCCUGAUCCAGCCAUACCGCGUGGGUGAAGAAGGCCUUCGGGUUGUAAAGCCCUUUUGUUGGGAAAGAAAAGCAGCAGGUUAAUACCCCGCUGUUCUGACGGUACCCAAAGAAUAAGCACCGGCUAACUUCGUG
rnacentral:rRNA from 1 species